ensembl:lncRNA
CUUUAUAACAGUAGAAUAUAACAGUAUAACGACUUUAUAACAGUAGAAUGACUUUAUAACAUUACUUUAUUUUCACUAGCUCUGAGCAGCACCAAGCACAUGCUCUACAUGUGAUAAACAUACAAUCAUGCUCGCCUCACGGUAGCACAUCAAGCAGAACGCCCUCCCAUAAACCCUGAGUCUGCUAGAACAAAUACAAAUUCUAGCAGACUAGUAUUGAGACUCAAUGCUAAGGCUGCAGGUGUUUUGGCUAGGGUCAGUCGAUUACUAUGGCUUUCAGAUCAGUGUUAAUGCUAACAGAGAAGUGCAAUGGGAAGAUCUGUUAUAUGGCUAGCAGGUCAGUGCUGGGGCUAACAGGUCAGUGCUGGGGCUAGCAGGUCAGUGCUGGGGCUAGCAGGUCAGUGCUGGGGCUAGCAGGUCAGUGCUGAGGCUAGCAGGUCAGUGCUGGGGCUAGCAGGUCAGUGCUGAGGCUAGCAGGUCAGUGUUGGGGCUAGCAGGUCAGUGCUGAGGCUAGCAG